rnacentral:rRNA from 1 species
GACGAACGCUGGCGGCGUGCUUAACACAUGCAAGUCGAACGCUGAAGCUCAGCUUUUGUUGGGUGGAUGAGUGGCGAACGGGUGAGUAACACGUGAGUAACCUGCCCCCUUCUUUGGGAUAACGCCCGGAAACGGGUGCUAAUACUGGAUAUUCACUGGUCUUCGCAUGGGGGUUGGUGGAAAGGGUUUUUCUGGUGGGGGAUGGGCUCGCGGCCUAUCAGCUUGUUGGUGGGGUGAUGGCCUACCAAGGCUUUGACGGGUAGCCGGCCUGAGAGGGUGAACGGUCACAUUGGGACUGAGAUACGGCCCAGACUCCUACGGGAGGCAGCAGUGGGGAAUAUUGCACAAUGGGCGCAAGCCUGAUGCAGCGACGCCGCGUGAGGGAUGGAGGCCUUCGGGUUGUGAACCUCUUUCGCUCAUGGUCAAGCCGCAACAAUGGUUGUGGUGAGGGUAGUGGGUAAAGAAGCGCCGGCUAACUACGUG